AACGAACGCUGGCGGCAUGCCUAACACAUGCAAGUCGAACGAGACCUUCGGGUCUAGUGGCGCACGGGUGCGUAACGCGUGGGAACCUGCCCUUAGGUUCGGAAUAACUCCCCGAAAGGGGUGCUAAUACCGGAUAAUUUCUUCGGACCAAAGAUUUAUCGCCUUUGGAUGGGCCCGCGUUGGAUUAGCUAGUUGGUAGGGUAAAAGCCUACCAAGGCGACGAUCCAUAGCUGGUCUGAGAGGAUGAUCAGCCACACUGGGACUGAGACACGGCCCAGACACCUACGGGAGGCAGCAGUGGGGAAUAUUGGACAAUGGGCGCAAGCCUGAUCCAGCAAUGCCGCGUGAGUGAAGAAUGUCUUCGGAUUGUAUAGCCCUUUCGGCGGGGACGAUAGUGACGGUACCCGCAAAAGAAGCCCCGGCUAACUUCGUG
rnacentral:rRNA from 1 species